rnacentral:lncRNA from 1 species
AUCGCUUCUAACUUCGGACUUCAAGUCCCACAAGGCAGGAAAGCUGACAUACUGGAACGCAGUUUAUAAACUAAACAGAAACAGAUUGUGCUGAUUUAGUCAGUAUUUAUCCUUUUCCCGCCAAGUGGUUAUCUGAUCUGCCUAGCUACGCAAAAUGUGAAAAGGUCCUUUGCCUGAAAGGGUCUUUCCUUUCCGAGCCUGGAGAGCUGCGGAAUCGUCUCUUCUACCUUAGUAGUACAUUUAUUACCGCGAACAAACUGUUAAAUUGAAAUAGUCUAAAAUUUUUGCCAUAAUCUGGGAAGGUAACUCAGCGGAGAAAGCACUUGCUAUGAAACCAUGAGGACUGGAGUUCAGAUAUCCAGAAUCCAAGUAAAAACCAGGCAGGCACAGUGGCCUACCUGUAAUCCCAAGGCUAAGGAAGCAGGGACAAAGAAUCCUGGACUAUCUAGACCAGCUGGAUCAGUGAGCUCUGGGUUCAAGAGAGAGACCCUGUCCCAAUGUCUAUAGAAGAGCAGAAUUGAGGAGGGUUCUCAACACCAACCUCUGGUCCCCAUGUGCACCUGCAG